rnacentral:rRNA from 1 species
UUGGAGGGCAAGUCUGGUGCCAGCAGCCGCGGUAAUUCCAGCUCCAAUAGCGUAUAUUAAAGUUGUUGCAGUUAAAAAGCUCGUAGUUGAAUUUCGGGGUCAGUAGGUUGGUCAUGCCACUGGUAUGUACUGGUCUCACUGAUUCCUCCUUCCUGAUGAGCUGUAAUGCCAUUAAUUUGGUGUUGCGGGGAAUCUGGACUGUUACUUUGAAAAAAUUAGAGUGUUUAAAGCAGGCUAACGCCUGAAUACAUUAGCAUGGAAUAAUGAAAUAGGACGUUCGAUCCUAUUUUGUUGGUUUCUAGGAUUGACGUAAUGAUUAAUAGGGAUAGUUGGGGGCAUUAGUAUUCAAUUGUCAGAGGUGAAAUUCUUGGAUUUAUUGAAGACUAACUACUGCAAAAGCAUUUGCCAAGGAUGUUUUCAUUAAUCAAGAACGAAAGUUAGGGGAUUGAAGAUGAUUAGAUACCGUUGUAGUCUUAACCAUAAACUAUGCUGACUAGGAAUCAGUCGAUGUUAAUUUUUUAAUGACUCGUUUGGCACCUUACGGGAAAC